CCUACGGGAGGCAGCAGUGGGGAAUAUUGCACAAUGGGGGAAACCCUGAUGCAGCGACGCCGCGUGAAGGAUGAAGUAUUUCGGUAUGUAAACUUCUAUCAGCAGGGAAGAAAAUGACGGUACCUGACUAAGAAGCCCCAGCUAACUACGUGCCAGCAGCCGCGGUAAUACGUAGGGAGCGAGCGUUAUCCGGAAUUAUUGGGUGUAAAGGGUGCGUAGACGGGAAAACAAGUUAGUUGUGAAAUCCCUCGGCUUAACUGAGGAACUGCAACUAAAACUAUUUUUCUUGAGUGCAGGAGAGGUAA
rnacentral:rRNA from 1 species